GAUUGAACGCUGGCGGCAUGCCUUACACAUGCAAGUCGAACGGCAGCAUGAUCUAGCUUGCUAGAUUGAUGGCGAGUGGCGAACGGGUGAGUAAUACAUCGGAACGUGCCCUGUAGUGGGGGAUAACUAGUCGAAAGAUUAGCUAAUACCGCAUACGACCUGAGGGUGAAAGUGGGGGACCGCAAGGCCUCAUGCUAUAGGAGCGGCCGAUGUCUGAUUAGCUAGUUGGUGAGGUAAAGGCUCACCAAGGCGACGAUCAGUAGCUGGUCUGAGAGGACGAUCAGCCACACUGGGACUGAGACACGGCCCAGACUCCUACGGGAGGCAGCAGUGGGGAAUUUUGGACAAUGGGGGCAACCCUGAUCCAGCAAUGCCGCGUGUGUGAAGAAGGCCUUCGGGUUGUAAAGCACUUUUGUCCGGAAAGAAAUCGCACUUACUAAUAUUAGGUGUGGAUGACGGUACCGGAAGAAUAAGGACCGGCUAACUACGUGCCAGCAGCCGCGGUAAUACGUAGGGUCCAAGCGUUAAUCGGAAUUACUGGGCGUAAAGCGUGCGCAGGCGGUUGUGCAAGACCGAUGUGAAAUCCCCGGGCUUAACCUGGGAAUUGCAUUGGUGACUGCACGGCUAGAGUGUGUCAGAGGGGGGUAGAAUUUCCACGUGUAGCAGUGAAAUGCGUAGAGAUGUGGAGGAAUACCGAUGGCGAAGGCAGCCCCCUGGGAUAACACUGACGCUCAUGCACGAAAGCGUGGGGGAGCAAACAGGAUUAGAUACCCUGGUAGUCCACGCCCUAAACGAUGUCAACUAGUUGUUGGGGAUUCAUUUCCUUAGUAACGUAGCUAACGCGUGAAGUUGACCGCCUGGGGAGUACGGUCGCAAGAUUAAAACUCAAAGGAAUUGACGGGGACCCGCACAAGCGGUGGAUGAUGUGGAUUAAUUCGAUGCAACGCGAAAAACCUUACCUACCCUUGACAUGCCACUAACGAAGCAGAGAUGCAUUAGGUGCUCGAAAGAGAAAGUGGACACAGGUGCUGCAUGGCUGUCGUCAGCUCGUGUCGUGAGAUGUUGGGUUAAGUCCCGCAACGAGCGCAACCCUUGUCUCUAGUUGCUACGAAAGGGCACUCUAGAGAGACUGCCGGUGACAAACCGGAGGAAGGUGGGGAUGACGUCAAGUCCUCAUGGCCCUUAUGGGUAGGGCUUCACACGUCAUACAAUGGUGCAUACAGAGGGUUGCCAAGCCGCGAGGUGGAGCUAAUCCCAGAAAAUGCAUCGUAGUCCGGAUCGUAGUCUGCAACUCGACUACGUGAAGCUGGAAUCGCUAGUAAUCGCGGAUCAGCAUGCCGCGGUGAAUACGUUCCCGGGUCUUGUACACACCGC
rnacentral:rRNA from 1 species